ACUUUCUUAGAAAAAUACACAUAUACGGUGAUCUUAAAAAAUACUAUGAGUUAGAAGAAUGUUAUUUGUCUACUGGAGAAACAAUAACUAACAUAAUUGUUACGUAUUUUCUUCAAUUCUUAUUUUUUUUUCUUGUUUUGGUCAGACAUUUUCAAAUUCUGCUUUGUUAUUUUUUUUUAUAUGUAUAACCAUUGUCAUUGCUAAGUGUUUAAACAUCUUAUGUUCUAAAUUUCAAAACACCACUUCAUAUCAAAUUAUUAAAUACUCAACUGUAAACAUUUGUCGAGAGUUAAAAAUGUCUUUGAUGUACAUGUGGUACAUAUGCAUGCAUAUCAAUAUAUGUUUCCCAUAAACAUAAAUGCAAAAAGGUAAUUAUAAUAAACUUUCUAAUCAAAACAUUAGCAUUCAAAAGUAACCCACUGACAAAAAUAGUUUAACAUUUAUCGGUUUAUACAAAUUAUUUUUAUGAUAUAAUCAACGUUUUAUAGAUUUCUAAAUUUUUUUUCGUUUCUUUAAGUCAAAAUAUUUAAUUUUAUCUGUUUUAGAUUAUACCAAGAAAAACAUUUUAUUUGUUCCUUUUCUCGUUAUUAGACUUUUAUAAAGAAGAAUAAAACUGAUCAAACAGGUAUGGACUAACCGGCAGGAAAUCAGAUUUCGACCAGUCCACAUAUAAACACUUAAACGGUGUCGUUUUAAACAAUUCGCCAUAAAGGCAGGAGGCAAAAGCUCCGUCUCAGUUUCGAGAUCUAUUCCCGUCCGUAACGGCCACUUCUGGUACACAAUCGUUAUCUCUGUUAAGCCUCUGCGUAAUUUGACUAAAGUCUCGCUCUGUCUCUCUCUCUCUCUCUCUCUCUUCGAACUAGUUUCAGCUCUAGGUUUCAGUCAUUGUAAUCUGAUCUUGAUUUCAGUACGAAGAUCAACACAUAGUAAUAGAUAAGCUAAUUUGAUGAAUGUAUGUAUCUCUUAUGUUUAUUGCGAGGUGAGAUUUGGAGAGAAACGAUGGGAAUCAUAGAAAGUGGAACUGUAUCAGGUAACUUGCCGACCAAGGAUAUCCAUCUUCUAUCUCCCGAGCCCUAGAGACUCUUGGCGGUAUCCAAGGGAUCCCAACUGUCAAAGCGAAGCUGGGAAGACAUUUGUGCUUAAAGUAUUUCCUUUCAAAUUUCAAACAUUUCUACAGCUAUUUGAACUUGAAGACGAGUACAUUCAGCGAGAGAUAAGAAAGCCUCCCAAGAAAACUACUUGUAAUUUGAUUUCAUGUGCUUUGUUGCCAGUAUAAAACAGGAUGGUUCUCAGAACCGCUGCUUGAUAAUCUGAGACUCCGAGUAGCUGUGAGGUUUGUAUCUGUGUUUCGAAGAUGUUUUUAAAUCUAUUCAAGAUGAGUUUCAGAGGUCAGAGAAGACGCGAAUUCAGAAAGAUUCACUGAUAUCUUGCCAACCAGACAACAUAACUUCAUUUUUUUUAAUGUUCUUCACGUUUUAGUCAUUCUAGAUAGUCAUUGUUGACUUAAAGCAAUGAGGAGCCAUCAGGCAAAGCAUAUGUGACACUUGAACUGUUCUUCACCUGCGUUUUCAGUCACCAUGUAGAUUGAAUCUGUUUCCCCCAUACUGCGCAAGAUUAUUCGCUUCCACCUAGCUUGGGACCCCAAACGUUAAGCCUAUACAUACAUAAGUUUCCAUCCCACGUCCAAGCUCCAUUUCACUUCCACCCACUUUAGCAACAGAGUCUUUGAAAAGCUUAUCAACAACAGAAACAAUCUCUAUAGCAUUGACAACAGAAACAGUCUCAGUACUGAAUCUCAAAACCAGUUUCUUUAGUCCAAUUGGGUAACAGAAACUUUUUAAACAAAGAAGAGGCAGUAGUAGGCUACUAACUAGUAGCAUUGUGACCAGAGCUUUGCAAGAUGAGAUUCUUAUGCGCUAUCUCUCCCUGGCCUGGACUUUGAUGUCAAGAAUCAAUGUCAGACCAUUCUCAUACACACUGAAAGAAGACUCGUUCACUAUUGUUGUUUUGGGCAGAAAUGGAGCCUGACAAAGUAGCUUCCUUGAGCUCUAUACCUUCAAAACGUAAUGGGGAAAACACGAGCAGACUUAUAAAUCUGAGGGAAAGCUGAACUCUUUAUGGCAUCAAAACCUGGUGAAGAACCAAGUGUCAAACUGUUGUUGGGAGACAUCUUCCAUCUGCUUUGGUUCAAGUGGUUGAGCCGCAGUCAACAAGGAAACUAGUGGGUUGAGCUUCUCCAUAGCCAACAACACAAGUGAUGAUUAUAUUAUUUAGGAACACUAAAAAUUAAUAGUGUUUAUUACUGACACCAAGAAAAUAAAUUUGUGUGUUCUAAUAUGUAGCUAUAAACAAACUAGUGAACGUUUGUAAUAAGUUUUUUUUUGGAAUUAGUUCAAAAAAGAAAAAAAAAAUUAUAAAAAUAUUCUAACUAGAUUCUAUUAAUUAAUUUUCAUAUUUAAAUAUAUAUCAACUUUUAAAUUAUUUUCAUUUAACACCUCUGAUUUAACAGAAUAUCAAUGUUUUAUCUUUUAAUCUAACCUAUACUAAAAGCAAGAUAUCAAGCCCUCUAAACGUGUCCACAUCAGCUGAAAAAAUCAGCCAAUUAGAGAUCCUUAACUAGCCAUGUCAUUUAGGUUAAAAUAUUGAAACAAUAUUGACUUCAAUUGUAUUCACUAAAAACUUGAUCGAUUGGUUUUACUUCGUGUUUAUGUUCUCUGGAAAACGUUUUGGUAGUGAUCGUAAUAAGCACAAGUUUCAGCCAAAACGUUUUGCCUCAACACAAUCAGUCUCCGAUUUCCCUCCUCUCUUACUAGCCGCUGAUGCCGCCUUUCAGAUCUCCAAUAACCCUCAAACCACCACCAAAAAACAUAAACAUAAGCCGCUUCAAAAACCAGGCCAUACUGCGUUAAGACUGAUUUCCCUACAAUGUUCCAUCUCUUCUCUCCUCAUACAUCUCCACCAACCGCUUUGACUAUGUCCUUUCUCCACUGGUUUGUUUCUGAUCGAUUCUCACGUUUGUGUCUAAUAUUUUCUUUGGAUAUGGCGCUUCAGUGUUUUAUAUAUCUAAUGAAGUUUUUUUCUCGCUCUCUGUGAAAUGUUGUUAUGCAGAUGGCCCUUCGUAUAAGCCGAUCUUAGUGGAAGGAAACGGACACUCAGGUUCUACCAGUCUCUGGCUCUGAAUUACUCUUACAGGUUGUUUUGAAUUUCUUGCUUUUUGUUAAUUUUUUUUCAAGAUUAUAGUCUUUUCUGUACAAGAGAAUCUUCAAUUAAGCUCUAACUUUCUAUUCCUUCUUUCUUUCUUUAGUUUUGUUUAAUGUGAUUCUACUAUGAAGUUAUGGUUGAGGGCUCCGCUGGUUAACUCUGAUGGUGAUUCAAAGGAUGCUUUCCCAAAUAAUCUGGUAAGACGUAGGACCAAAAUUGAUGCAAUGAAUUGAUUUUUAACCUCUAGCCAUUAAUUUUCAUUGUCUUUGCUGAAUUUCAGGUUUAUGUGCUUAACGGCUGCGUUUUCUGUUUUGCCGUAGGUGUUCUCCAUGUGAUGUUGAAACGUGGGUUUGCUUUCAGUGUCUACAAUAUGAACAUCCUCUUGGAGGGUUUAUGCAAGAAUCUGGAAUACGACAAAACUGUUACUUUGCUUCUUGAGGUAAAGUUUGAGUUCUCCGCCGCCGGAUGCUGUUAGCUACAGCUAUGUUAUAAGAGGCUUAUGCGAGGGGAAAUAGUUGUAGAAAGCAUUGGAAUUGUCGAAUGAUAUGCAAGGCAUCCAUAAUAAGCACUGAUAUAAGUGUAUAACCCUUUCACCACAUCGUAAUAAACUCAAUUUUGAACUCAUGUUAUUAUUCACAAAUUAGUCUAAUUUGGGUCUGCAGUCGUUUUUAACAAAUGCUCAGAGGUUCUAUGAUGUCAUGUUAGUACAUAGGAUUGCAGUUUGUUGGCGUUUUUGGGCUCUUUUAACCAUUGCUAGGUUUGAGUUUAAUUUUAAUUUUUAUUAGAUAAGAGUUUGUAAAAUGCAGAUGGAGAAUACAGUUUAUGCAUUGAAUAACAGUAUAAACACAAAAGCAUAUGAUAAUUUUGACACAUAAUCUUUCUUGCAACAUGCCAUCAAUUUUGCUGCAAAACAUUGGGGUCUUCAGUGCCUUUUACGAGAUAAGUGAGUCAUAUUCUGCUCGACUCUUUGGCUGACUUCACUUGCUUGCCUGUUUCUAAAUAUGUUGUGUAGCCAGGGGAUAUCAUGCCUCCUCACUGUUACUAUGGAAUGAAAGCUGAAGCUAAAUGUAGAAAUAGAGGCCCCGACACUUGAGUCUGAAGGUAAAUUUGCAUUCCCUAUCUUUGCAAAACUUAUGUUCAGUGAUUGAGUAGUGUGCUUGGUACAGCUCAAGAAUACAGAAUAAAGCCUGCUUACUUUGUUUCUCAUAAUCUCCUUCACCAGCUUGAAUAGGGGAACACCAAACCCAUUUCAACAUCGCAGGUAUUAAGAAAAAUUCUGCAAACUUGGUAUCAGAAGCUGCAAAGGUAAAGUUAGCCAAUGCAACAUCAUGUUUGUAUUAAGUAUUAACUAUUUAGUUCACAUGAGCACAUCAUAAUAAGAUGUCAAGCCAUUCUUCAGUAUUAUAUCAUAACCUUUCUUUCUUUAAACUAAAAAAUUAAAACGACUACCUCUUCUAUUAGGUUUUUCUUUUCUUUAUAUAUGCGACUAAAAGUAGAUGUCACUACUAUGUUUUUAUUUUCUUUUUCUCUUACUAGCUUAAUUGGGUAUUUUUGUUGUUUAUUGGUGUAUAAGGGUCGUCUGCUCAAGAGAUUAAAAAUUUCCUUAAGAGAUUUGAAGUUGGAUCUGGUCCUCUACUUAGGGUUAGUCUCCUGAUUAUUAUUUUUUUUUACUGAAGUUGUCUCUUGAUUUUUUAUCCUUAUAAAUACUGUAUUACUUUUGAAAAUUUAAUUUUUUCAAAAGCUUGUAGUGUGUUGAUUGAUUUUUUUCAUGGUUCUGACUGGUAUAUAUAUAUAUAAAUAUAUAUAUAUAUAUGCAUGCCUAUACAUACACUCUCUUAUACUCUUUGUUAUACGGUCAAAACAGUGUUCCAACAAUGAAUUCAAUACAAUAGAGCACAUUGGUAGACUUCUACUCUUCAGUGAUCUCUUAAGUUUUCAGAGGUUCAAAGAGUUCUAUGCUUCAACCACUAUCUCCACUGAGGAUGAACCUUACAAAGGUCUUAGUAAUCUGGUAAAGUGCUCCAAUCUCUUUCAUAAUGUUGUUUAUAUUUUUAUUUCUUCCUCAUAACUUCAAUUGAUCUUGCCGUGCAAUGAAUGCAUGACAAUACAUGAGUGUUUUCAGUGACUUACGGUCCAACAAGCAAAUGACAGUUUUCUUGAUAAUAAACGAAAUCUUAACAUUUGAGAUCUAUAUCUUUAUCUUUUGCUAAGUUUUUUGUUGGUUUUUUUUUUGUUGUGACUGGACUGGUUUGGUUAGUUAGCCCCUGCAGGAGACUUAUUUUCUUACUUGGAUGAUCUGGCAAAUUCAUUGGAUAUUCAGGCUUACAUAAGAGAGUGUGUUUGGACAGCCGGAAAUUGAUUUCCCAUCCCAACACCGUCUAGCUAGCUAGCAUCAAUAGCGUAUGACACCGUUAGAUUGCCAUUAAAAGCAAAUCCACAAAAAAAUGAUUCAUCUCCUUACCACUUCGGUUUUCUCCUUGUGAAAUUAAUAGAAUUUUCUCAUAUGUAUUCACCCUCUUAAUGUUUUGUGGUUUUUGGGAAUGUUUGUGUUUAAGUAAAAAUAAGAAUUUCGUUUCAGCAA